rnacentral:rRNA from 1 species
UACGUAGGGCGCAAGCGUUGUCCGGAAUUAUUGGGCGUAAAGAGCUCGUAGGCGGUUUGUCGCGUCUGCUGUGAAAGCCCGGGGCUCAACCCCGGGUCUGCAGUGGGUACGGGCAGACUAGAGUGCAGUAGGGGAGACUGGAAUUCCUGGUGUAGCGGUGAAAUGCGCAGGAUAAUCAGGAGGAACACCGAUGGCGAAAGGGCAGGUCUCCUGGGCUGUUGCUGACGCUGGAGGAGCGAAAGCAUGGGG